GCAUGACAAAAUAGAUAGGUAUGAUAGCAACUUUGUGAUACGCAACACAUAGCUUCCCCCUCCACAUAAAUGACGUCAGCCGUUCUCCGAUGACCCGUGGGCCGUGACCGCCGCACGCCGACGGCCGACCGUUUAAAAUUUAAAUAAUUAUUCGCAUGACAUAUUUGUCAUGGUUAUUAGCAACAGACAAAACAGGAAGUACACAACAGAUAUAACAUAAAUUAUUAUGGAAAAUAAAAAAGUACUCGUUUUAAUCGUGAUAAUUUAAUUUGUAAAUUUGGACUUUUUAAUACGGUUAGUAUGUAACUGUUUUUCCAAUACAAUUUUAUUUAGAUUAUUCAUCCUUAUAAAUGUCCUGGUUCGUACAAGGCAUUUAACCACUUCAACAGGUAUAUUAAGGUAUCUUCAGGUUCCCUUUAGAUAACUAUUUUAUCCAACCAGCUUUGUGUUCACCUGUUUCAUCAACUAAAUCUGGAUAUUUAUGGCUGAAUCUGCUUGCAACAUAUCCGGCGACAUACUGAGUGAGCACAUUCUUCUUCUAGCUGUCCAAAUAGAUUUGAAUUAAUUUCUUCAUUUUCAAUCUUCAAGACACAUCAAAAUAGAAGAAAAAAAUUUGUGAGUUCAAACUUUGUUGUGGAACUGUUAUUGUGGACGCCAUGCCAAAUUGUGAUUCAAGAUUAGCUAAUUCGACAUCAUGAUACUCAGAGUAAUCAUGAGGUGCUAAUAACUUUGAUUCUUGAAUCAUUGUACUUGUUAAGCAAACUGUAUCGUCAACAAUAUUUGUUUCAAGGCCAUCUUCUGUGUUUGUAUUCUCGGUAAAAAUAAAAUUAGAAUUUUUACCUAAAAUACUCCAUCUGAGAUUGAAAUUAAAUUCUGAACGGAGUGAUGAAUGUAUUUUAUGUAUAAACUUA